UGGGGAAUAUUGCGCAAUGGGGGGAACCCUGACGCAGCAACGCCGCGUGAAGGAAGACGGUUUUCGGAUUGUAAACUUCAGCAAGCAGGGAAGAAAGAAAUGACGGUACCUGAACAAAAGCCACGGCUAACUACGUGCCAGCAGCCGCGGUAAUACGUAGGUGGCAAGCGUUGUCCGGAUUUACUGGGUGUAAAGGGCGCGUAGGCGGGCGAGUAAGUCAGACGUGAAAUACCGGGGCUCAACCCCGGGGCUGCGUUUGAAACUGCUUGUCUUGAGUGCCGGAGAGGAAAGCGGAAUUCCUAGUGUAGCGGUGAAAUGCGUAGAUAUUAGGAGGAACACCAGUGGCGAAGGCGGCUUUCUGGACGGUAACUGACGCUGAGGCGCGAAAGCGUGGGGAGCAAACAGGAUUAGAUACC
rnacentral:rRNA from 1 species